UAGCGAGAAAAGCACUCAAACUAACCAUCUAUUUCCCUGCAGAUACGAUUUUUACCAUUGGGAGUUUUAACCCAGUCAUACGACUUUAUGUGCAUUGAGCCAUGAAGAAUCUUGCUAAAGACAGUCAUCCCUAGAUGGUCAUGGAGUGGAAUGACAGCCGAUUGUGGUAGACAAAACACACCAAACUACAAAAAAAUGUGUAAAAUGUGUCAUCUAAGUGGAGUUUACACUAAAUAGACACAUUUUCCAUGAUUCAAUGUCAACAAAAUGUGAAGUACUAAAUUACCGAGAAGUUAAGACUAUCAUCACCAAAGUGCACAUAUGUUACUUUAGGAUGCCCUUGAGGAUCAGCUCUAAAAUACGGCAUGCUUGCAUCAAGCCCAAAAUCCUCUAGCUUCAAGGUAUCUGCAUC
rnacentral:sRNA from 1 species